rnacentral:rRNA from 1 species
CCUACGGAGGGCAGCAGUGGGGAAUAUUGGACAAUGGGCGAAAGCCUGAUCCAGCCAUGCCGCGUGUGUGAAGAAGGCCUUCGGGUUGUAAAGCACUUUCAGUGGGGAAGAAAGCCUUGGGGCUAAUACCCUCGAGGAAGGACAUCACCCACAGAAGAAGCACCGGCUAACUCCGUGCCAGCAGCCGCGGUAAUACGGAGGGUGCGAGCGUUAAUCGGAAUUACUGGGCGUAAAGCGCGCGUAGGCGGUCUGAUAAGCCGGUUGUGAAAGCCCCGGGCUCAACCUGGGAACGGCAUCCGGAACUGUCAGGCUAGAGUGCAGGAGAGGAAGGUAGAAUUCCCGGUGUAGCGGUGAAAUGCGUAGAGAUCGGGAGGAAUACCAGUGGCGAAGGCGGCCUUCUGGACUGACACUGACGCUGAGGUGCGAAAGCGUGGGUAGCAAACAGGAUUAGAUACCCCUGUAGUC